rnacentral:rRNA from 1 species
UACGUAGGUGGCAAGCGUUAUCCGGAUUUAUUGGGCGUAAAGGGAACGCAGGCGGUCUUUUAAGUCUGAUGUGAAAGCCUUCGGCUUAACCGGAGUAGUGCAUUGGAAACUGGGAGACUUGAGUGCAGAAGAGGAGAGUGGAACUCCAUGUGUAGCGGUGAAAUGCGUAGAUAUAUGGAAGAACACCAGUGCCGAAAGCGGCUCUCUGGUCUGUAACUGACGCUGAGGUUCGAAAGCGUGGGUAGCAAACAGG